UGGGUAACAGAAAGCCUGUCAGCAGCUGUUUUGGGAUGUGCGAGCUCACGUCAAGCGCAACACGCCAAGAAUAACCUCGUAGCUUUUGCCACAGACACCCCGCUAAUCCGGAACAGACCGGAAAGUGGAGAAAGAAAGACGCUGUUUCCCCACUAACCCAUAGCCUUAUAUCGUAUUGACUAAGUUGACAGGAUGGAAGAACUGCUAACAGAAGCAAGCCAGUAGUCAGCUGGGAUGGUCCACGCUGAUCCGCUUGGCUUUGACAAUGCAAAUAGCAGCCUCCACCGGGAUGGCAAGUACAAGCUCUGCCUCCGGCACCAAGAAGCACAGACGGCGUGGUAAAAAGCACCGCAGAAUUCGCACUGAGGAGACCUGUUGUGAUGACCUUUGUGACAGACCACAACCCCAGAUGCAGGAUGACCUUUCAGUCACACCUUUCACACCAAAAACGAUCCUAACUCAAGGAAGUACCACAGUUGAAGACCAAGAAAUGACCCCCCAUUCUUUGGAUAAAUGCUGCCCUGACCAGGACCCCCCCACCAGAGAUUUAACAUAUAGCGCUUUAGCUUGCCCCCGGUGUCCUAAAAAUAUUCCCCAGAGCGCCAUGCCCCUGUCUUGUAUUCCCCUGACAGUGACACAACUCAACCAGCCACUUUCUAUUACACAUUACAGGUCAGCCCACAACCAGUCACUUCCUGUUACACAUGAGAGUUCUGCCCACAGCCAGCCAAUUACUUUCCCAGCUCAGAGUCCCACCCACAGGAAAUCCCUUCCUGUUACACCUCUGAGGAGACAUUUACUUCCCGUCACAUCUCAGAGCCCCUCUCAUAGUCAUUCACCUCCCAAUUCAAAUCAAAGCUUUACGCAGAGCCAGCCACAUUCUGCCCUGGCUCACAGUCUUGCCCACAGCAAAUCACUCUCUGUUUCACCACAGAGCAGAGAUUUACUUCCUGUUACAUCUCAGACCCUUGUCUACAACCAGUCACUUCCUAUGCCAUCUCAGAGCUCCACUCAUAGCCAGUCAACUUCUAUUCUCUUUCAAAAUCCCACCAAUAGCCAGACACUUCCUGUCUCAUCUCAAAGCCCCACCCAUAGUCAGUCACUUUUUAUGUUAUCUCAAAACUCCGCACACAGGCAGGUACUUCCUGUCUCAGCUCAAAUUUAUGCAUACAGCCAGUCAUUUCCUGUACCAUCUCUGAGCCCCACCCAUAGCACAAGUCAAUCACCAUCAAACUUCAGUAAGGAAAUGCCAUAUGAUUUCAGCGCAUGGACUCAUUUACGUUUUGAAAAUACAAAAUCUACUCCAGCAACAGCUAAAACCACCAGCCUUUUCCCAGCAAAUGCCUCAACCACUGCUCCGUUAAAUACUUCCCACCCAGAUCCAUUACUUCUCACCUCUGUUAACUUCACGACCAAUGUCUCCUCCUCUCCCGUCUGUUCCUCUCUCUGGUCCUCCUCUGGCACCUCCCUUCAAAACUCAAAACCUCGCCCUUCAACCUCUGUGAUGUCAUCAGUGCCAAUGUGCACAACCAUCCCCCCACUGGCCCAACUGAACCCACCACCUGGAGAGUUAACGCUGCCCCCUGCUCAGCCUUUAGGUUCUGAUGAUGAAGAGCAAGAAGACCCGUCAGAUUACUGCAAAGGUGGUUACUACCCGGUCGCCAUUGGGGACCUCUUUAAUGGGAGGUACCAUGUAGUCCGCAAACUUGGCUGGGGACAUUUCUCUACUGUAUGGCUCUGCUGGGACCUGCAGAAGAAACGCUUUGUAGCAUUGAAGGUGGUGAAGAGCGCACCCCAUUACACAGAGACAGCACUGGAUGAGAUCAAAUUACUCAGAUGUGUGAGAGACAGUGACCCCUCUGACCCCCACAGAGAGACGAUUGUCCAACUGAUUGAUGACUUUAAGAUUUCUGGAGUCAACGGAGUGCAUGUGUGUAUGGUUCUGGAAGUUCUUGGUCAUCAGCUGUUAAAAUGGAUAAUCAAGUCAAAUUACAUGGGCCUUCCUCUGGUAUGCGUUAAGAGCCUCAUUAGACAGGUGUUGCAGGGUCUGGACUACCUGCACACGAAGUGUAAGAUCAUCCAUACAGACAUAAAACCAGAGAACAUAUUGUUGGAUGUGGAUGAGGUCUACAUUAGAAGGCUGGCUGCCGAGGCCACUAUCUGGCAGAGAGUGGGUGCCCCACCCCCUUCUGGAUCAUCAGUCAGCACUGCUCACUUGGGCAUCCAGGUUGGUAAAAUGUCCAAAAACAAGAAGAAAAAGUUGAAGAGAAAAGCAAAGCGGCAGGAGAAACUAUUAGAAGAGAGACUGAUGGACAUUCAGAAGUUGGAUGAGGAAGAUGGCAUGCUCACUAACUUCCUUCCACUCAUCAAUGGCAACACUUCCUGCAAUGCAAUCAAUGACAAAGUGAACCCAUUGUCAUCUUGUUCCUGGUUGGAGGACAGUUGCCAUGGCCCAGGGCGGUUUUCCAGCCCCAUGUCUGGCAUCUCGGGGUUCUCCAGCUCUGCGAUCUCAGCCACAUCGGAAUCAACUCUUUCCACGCAUUCAGGAUGCUCCAGUGGACAAGACUGUGAGGAUACACUCCAUUCAAAGACAAUUGACCUUUCGCAAAACCCCCCGCCACUCCCUUUUAACCGUUCAACAAUGACUCUCCCACCCUCUUCACUCCCCGGACUAGGGUCUUUCAAAUUUCAAAUUUUGACAGAAAUAGCCAAGGUGUGCAAUAUGCUUUUGAAGGUUAAAUCCAUGCAAGCAAACCAAAUUGCGAUGCUAAGAUAACAACGUAUUCACAUCGCAGAUUAUUUUUAGCCAUCUUUUUACUGUUACAGUGUUCCCCUGCCUGUCAUGCAUUACUUGCGACUAUCUAUUUUUCAAGUUUUUUGGGGAACCCAUCUGCCAUGAUCUGCUUAAAAAAAUGGCCCCUUUUUGUUGUUUGUGCUUUUUAAAAUGCUCGAAUUUGCAACAACAUUACACCAAAACUGUGUCGAACAGCAGUAAGAUGCUACAAGAUAGUGUCAAAAGCCCUGUCUAGGUUUCAUGAAUGUAUGUUGGGAUGAUGCAUCUCAAAAUGAGGGACAAGGGGGAAACAUAUUAGGGAGAUGUCUAGAAUUCAAUUUCUGUCCUGCCUUUAAGAACGGGAUUACUUUGCAGUCAUUCAAAAGCAAAGGCCAAUAGGCUUAUGCAAACGUUGCAACCAGGAACAUGUAGCUGACCUAUUUAAUUUAACAGGCUAUGGCCUCAUCUUGACGUUAUAAUUUGAGAGUAUAAAGAGUGGAACCACGGAGUUUGGACGACUCAGUGGUUAUAAAAAUCUGUUUUUGACCCAAAAAUCUGCAUAAAAAAUACCUCUCUUCUCAACCGUCACCAUUUUCACGGUGCCAUAUUACCAAAAAGAGCUGCUCGACAGUGUGGGGGACGUUAAACUGGAGCAGAAUAUACACAAUGCCCGAGAUUUGUUGUGCUGUUGGUUGUUACAACAGACGAGAUAGAUAUUCAAAGAGAUCAUUCUAUGGAGUACCAGCUGAAAAGACCACAAAAUAUCGAUGGAUAUCGGCAAUUAAACGUGAUGGAUGGCGGCCAACAAAAUACACACAACUGUGUAGCGAUCACUUCACUUCAGGUGCAUGAGCUCUAUUCUCAGUGUGUGAACCACCGAGCAAAGCUAAACCCAUCUCGACCAGCGAGCGAACUCGAGCUGAGCGAUGCCAAAUGCACACGGGGUGGUGCCAAGACGAGUCUUCGCCCACUGCAAGUCAAGCAAUCACCCACAAUCAAGUCAGUGCGUGCCCAUCGUGUGAGCAUGGAUUUUUGUGAAUGCUUCUCAAGAUUAUUUUUCUAGUAUUUUCUUUGCCAUGGGCCCAAAGAAAAACAGCGGUGCUCCCAGUAGCGAAGGAAAAGAAAAGUUGAACAAACCACAAUGAAUCUAAGUGUGUGAAGUACGAAAAUAGGGUGUUUGUUAAUGGUCUUGCUAGCAACGUAUGCCUAAAUCGACUAUUUCAACUCUGCUAAACAAUAAAAAUUUAAGAAAAGGCAGCUGGUGUUGCCAAAGGUGUGACUAGCAUUACAAAGCAAAGGGCACAGAUAGAAGAAAUGGAGAAGCUACUGGAGAAUUACACUGUCAAUCAUGGAGGGGUGACGUGGAAACUUCCGCCUUCCCUCUCGAGACCUUCCAAUACCAUCGCACCGCCUCCAACAAAGUUAAUGAUACACAUUUAAGUUGCUUUAAUUUUAUGCAUUUUUUUAUUAUUUAAAUGCACGCAGUACAUGUUUUUAUAUAAAUAUGAAUUAAAAUUGGAAUUUACUAUUUGGAGGUUGUUAACGUAUUAAACUAAUUUACAUGAUUUCCUAUGGGAGAAUGUUUUAUAUGUUGGACUUUGAACACUUGCCAAGAAUGAAGUUCUGUUCAAUCUCACUGUAUUUUACAGCUAAUAAAAAUAUAUUGCUUACGUUGAGCCAGACAUAGGCAUGAGUGUUGAUUUUUGACAGAUUUAAAUGAACAACUGCAUUGUUUAAUCUUGAGCCUGUUUUUUUGUGACUUACUCUGGAUAAGAUUGAUUGGAUUUAACAGACCACGUCUCGGAAACUGUCAAAUCUGUCUUCUCUCCUGCUGUGAAUGGUCAGUUUGCGUUUGGGAUUGUGGUUUAGCGAAAGGUUAAUUAAACAGCAUACAUGACUAUCAGUUACCUCCGUUCUGGAAAAAAAAACGAC